AUGGGCGGCGGCGGCGUGAGCUCCAGCACCGUGUCGCCGGACGCUGUGAGCGCCGCCGGCGAUGGAGGCACGGCCCCGGUCGUCGCAGCAGCCCAGGCGAGCCGUAGCUUGCUGGAACGGCGGUUCCCGCAGGAGGUGUGGCGGCGGGGAGAGCUGGAGCUCCGUCGAGAGGCGAGCCAUGUCCUGAUCUCCCGCACUCCGGCCAUGGAUGCGCUGGAGCUGCGCUUCAGGCGGUAUGUGCUUCUGGCAACUGCGGUCGGAGACGGCAAGCAGACAUUGACGCCGGCAGCCAUGCUGGCGACCUUGCAGCAGCAUUGCGGGGUGGUGCCGUCCGAGGUGGUCAUCGAGGUCGCGUGCCCACCACACGACCCGUGGCUGACCUUCUCGACGGAGGAGAAGUGCUCUAAGGUGCUCCUUUCGUCAAUGAAGAUCAAGUGUUGCCGGCGUUGGAUUCAGUUUUCGCGUUGGUGCAGAAUGGUUCGUGCUCAGUCAGGUGCUCUGAAGUAUAAGAGCAAGCUCGGCUUUGAAGGCCUUCCUAACCAGGUCUGGAUGAUGGCGUCCGUGAAAGAUGUUCUCAAGCAGCUGGGUGGCGAGCUGAUUGAGAUCCUGCCGCCGGCAAGCCGCCGCGAGCUUGAGGUAAUGGCGUGGCUUCGUGACCCUUCCUUUGUUGGCAAGGUGGUGACAGUGGAGAUACCUGAGCUGAAGCUGACAAACAAGCCACCCGAGUCCAUGGAUGAGUAUGAAGCAAUGCAAUUUGUAUUGGGUGACUACGGACCAUCGUCGCCGAGAAAGAAGAACAGCUUACUGUAUCCUGUCAUUUGCCACAUGAAGGAGGUUGUCGAUCGUGGUCCUCUGCUUGCUGAAGGACUGCCUGAUGAGUGGUUGUCAGGAGAAGGCGAGGACCUGACUCGCAAGCAUAUCUUCAAGACUGUGAUGGGCAAGAUCGACGGCACUGACGGUGCUGAAGGAGUUUGA
rnacentral:rRNA from 1 species